UGACCUCGGAUCAGGUAGGAAUACCCGCUGAACUUAAG
rnacentral:rRNA from 8 species